AAAAAAUCAAUUUUUUUGGUGAAAAAAUCGGGUCCAAACAAGCCCUUAAAGAGCCUUCAUUUUUGUUGUAGUUUUUCAGUGGUUCAAAAAAAUUUGCAUCCACGUUUCCUUUCUUCGGUUAGCUGUAUAGCUUCAAUUUCUAUAUCUUUUGCAUCUUAAGCUUUUAAUAGUACAUGAAAAAAUAUUUUUUAAGAGAGACCAAGUGGU
rnacentral:lncRNA from 1 species